rnacentral:rRNA from 1 species
UAGCGAGCCCACCUCCCACCCGUGUUUACUGUACCUUAGUUGCUUCGGCGGGCCCGCCAUUCAUGGCCGCCGGGGGCUCUCAGCCCCGGGCCCGCGCCCGCCGGAGACACCACGAACUCUGUCUGAUCUAGUGAAGUCUGAGUUGAUUGUAUCGCAAUCAGUUAAAACUUUCAACAAUGGAUCUCUUGGUUCCGGCAUCGAUGAAGAACGCAGCGAAAUGCGAUAACUAGUGUGAAUUGCAGAAUUCCGUGAAUCAUCGAGUCUUUGAACGCACAUUGCGCCCCCUGGAAUUCCGGGGGGCAUGCCUGUCCGAGCGUCAUUGCUGCCCAUCAAGCACGGCUUGUGUGUGGGGUCGUCGUCCCCUCUCCGGGGGGGACGGGCCCCAAAGGCAGCGGCGGCACCGCGUCCGAUCCUCGAGCGUAUGGGGCUUUGUCACCCGCUCUGUAGGCCCGGCCGGCGCUUGCCGAACGCAAUCAAUCU